rnacentral:rRNA from 1 species
CCCUUAGAUGUUCUGGGCCACACGCGCGCUACAAUGACGGUUUCAACGAGUAUUUUAUUCCUUGCCGUAAGGGUGUGGGUAAUCUUUUCAAUAAUCGUCGUGAUGGGGCUAGACAAUUGUAAUUAUUUGUCUUCAACGAGGAAUCUCUAGUAAGUAUGAGUCAUUAGCUCAUGCUGAAUGCGUCCCUGGACUGUGUACACACCGCCCGUCGCACCUACCGAUUGGACGAAAUGGCGAGAUGUUUGGACAUGCUUUUCUUCGGAUUUGCGUGAAAAUUCCUCAAACCUUUUCGUCUAGAGGAAGGUGAAGUCGUAACA